UUAUUCCUCCGUUACGCCUCUGUGAAACCUCUGUUAUGUAUCUAUAUGUCUCUCUAUGAAACUCAUUCACCUCCCCUGCUAUUUCUCUUACUUAAUUUGUGACUCCUCGACUCCAGGCUUCUUCAGAUCAUUUUUGUAUCCAUGCUCGUGCUUGGAAGACUUUAGCCUCUUGAUCCGUGCCUGAAGAAAGAAACAGGACGCCAAAUGAGCAGUUACAAUUUUUUCCCCCGGGGAGUUGGCCCCCUCCAAAAGGUUCUGAUUGCAAUGUUGAAGAGUAUGCACCAAUAAUUUGCACUCCUAUAGUUUCUUUAGAAGGCAUGGGGAGAUGUACUUUAGCCCCGCAGAUCAUGAAAAAAUGUUGUCCAUGGUGGCCUGCUGAUCAGGUCAUAGACAUGGCGAACAUUGGAAAGAGGGCGAUCCAUUAUUUGCAUAAACUAAGUGCCGCAAACAUCCCAACUGAUUUAACUGAAAAAGGCCAAAACUUUGAAAGAAACCAAAACUUGAGGUGUAUCCUAAAAAGUGAACUCUGCCAAUAAUAAAUGUCAGGGAUCGGGAAGGCUCCCCUGUAAAGCAUUGAUAAAAGAUUGCAUCGCUGUGAUGUGCAUGUGCCAUGCAGAACUGCUGAUGAUUUGUUAUUGUCCGAGAAUUCCUCCAAGGACAAGUUAGAAACUUGUAGAUCAGCCGCCACCAUCGCUCCUCCUCAAAUAGAAAAAUGUUUGUGCACUGCUAUGCAGAAGAUCAUGGAGCUUGAUGCUUUAAAGUUUAAAGGAGACAGCAGAUAUACAAGGUCUUACAACAUGAGCAGAUGGUCCCAGAGCUCCUGUGUCGGAGAUAAUUUUAGAUGAACUUUCUUAUAAUAGAGAUGUGUUGUCCCAUUUCCUUCAGGCAUUUUAUGAACCUCGAUGGAAGCUGGAAAUGGUUAUGCAGUGUAUUAGGAAGUAUGUUGCCAAGCCUUCUGUUCGUGCUCGAAGAUCAAAUCUAUUAUAUAUAUAAUGCUGCAACAUGGAGUUUGGUGAACCAAAAUCAGUGUGAAAGUACAAUCCUGCCCAUCAUUUAACACAUUAAACUACUUCCAAAUCCCUCAAUAAGCUCGGUGCUUAUAUGACCUUUGGUUUCCUAGAUAAAGAUGGCACCACAUACAUCUAUUAUAUAUAUACUACAGACCAUUCGGCAGCCACGUAAGAAAAUGUCCAAUUAUGAUAUAUUUUAUAUCUUCCUACAUAGGCCUCUGCCAUUCUGAUCUUCUGUGUUACAACUCUUCAUCUGCUCCUCUAAGUUACAGACUCUAUAUCUGCAUUUUCUUCUGUAAUCGGUUAUGAAUUCAUAACUCUUCUUAUUAGUCAAAAUAACUUCAUCGAGCGGCCAAAAAUAUUAUACAGUCAUAUGUAAUUCAGGUUACCUAUCAAAACAUACUAUUCCCUGCUAUAAUUCUCUUGUAUAUCUUCGACAGUAGUCACGUAUAUUUUAAUGUUAUUUGCAUGUGCACAACUCUUUGCUUUCUGUGUGUAGAGAUAUAUGAAUCCUGUUCUUAGAAAGUUGCACCACAUGAGGACAAGGACGAGAUUUAAUAAAUUAUCCGCUGAAGAAACGUAAGUAGCAUGUCAUCCAAGAAUUUAAAAAAACCCUCUCUUCUAUUCUGCAUGCUUCGGAAAUGUGACCAGGUUAUCUGUGACAACGCUAUAAAUUAUUAUGGUAGUGCAUACCUAUUACUGAUACUGAUGGGUUAUUAUUUAGAUAUGAUACCUAUCAACAGUGGGGAUACUAUAAAAGUGGAGUUUUAUAAUUUUUGGUGCCAGUGUGCAAGAGAAACAAUCUCUAAUAUUUGAUAUGGCAAGAAAAUAAUAAUAUGAGGUGUGGAUCGAUAAUCUGAAACAGGAAUGGAGCCAGAUAAUGCUACUGGAGAAUCUGGUGCGGAUUAGUAUCACAGAUACAUAGUAAGUGAAUAAGUGGUGGGGAAUUAUGGUCACAGUAUGAUUUAUUUUCAGGAAGAUAGUGAAAUUGUGUAAGCACUACACUGAAUAUAAUUUUACCCUUUAUUGUAUUAUGUUAACUCUAACUUCACUUGAGAGUUUGUGCUCGAACUUUGGAGAUCUGAUCAGAACUAUCAAACUAAGCUUGGGGCCUUUUGUUUGCCCUGAUUGAUUUUUAAAUGGUAUGUAGAUGGAACUGGUAUUGUUAACUGGAAGGGAGCUCUGCUUAUUACAUCAGAUUGAUAGGUUACAUGCUUUAGAAAGGUGGUGAAGUGCUCUUCUACAGAGAACCUUCUUCACAACAGGCAACAACUGUAGUUGCUGUUGUAUUGAGAGCUACUGUUCCUUGGUGUUGUCGGAGGGAUUUUGGCAACCAAAUACAAUUAUCUGGUGGACAGGGUUCUCCCCAUGUAUAGCGUCAUUGAUGAGUAUGAACUCAUCCUUCAUCAAAAUCUGUAUUGGAAUAACAAUUAACUUGCACAAGGAAGUUAAUUGCUUGGCUGAUCUUAACCCUUCAAUCAAUCAUCAAUUUGGUUCUUAGUUUAUCAAUUGGCUCUGUAAAUCAUGGUCUCUACUUGAUUUUAUGGCUUCCUCUCCGCAUAAUUUAAAGUGUAACUUUCAGGGUCAGAGGUAAGGUGAUAAGAUGGUCAAUUAUAAGUUGUCUAAUUUAAUUCGCACAUUGAAGAGAAACAAGUAAAUGUUUAUUUGGUUAUUGUACUUUGUUUUCUGUAUU